UUCCCACUUGUUUCGAUCCUUUCUAUUGCAAGUUCCCUGUUCGUUUCUCCUAUAAUUGCUCUGAUAUGUCUUAUUGCAAGUUCUCUGAUCGUCUCUCCUAUAAUUGCUCUGAUAUGUCUUAUUGCAAGUGUUCUAACCUUUUCUAUUGCAAGCUUUUUAAUCUUUUCUCUUGCAAGUAUCCUGAUCGUUCCUCGUUGCCAUUUUUAUCUCUACAUUUGCUUUGAAUAUGAGGAACUUUGAAUUGUUCUAGCCUUGCAUUUGAUAUAUCUCCUGUUUAGACGUAACGAUUCGAAUCUGUGCAACUUCUGAGAUUCUGACCUUUUGAUACCGAGCUGCCUAUAAGUCUUUGUGGAAACUCUGAUUUGUUCAAAACUGAUUUCAUUGGAAACUAGACUCGUAGACCUUUCCUUGAUAUAUGGAUUGAAAGAUUUGGAAUCUAAACACCUGCCCAGUUAUCUGUUGAAUCUGACAUUAUGAAUUCUGCCAACAAAGAUUUUGUUCUACGACACUUGCUUACCAAAUUAUUUGUAACUCUCUCUGUUGGACAGUUCAAUUCAUAUGAAGCCUGUCUUAUCUGAAAGUAUUAUCCAAUGAUUAUUUCUGAGUAAAUUGGAGCACGAUUGAUAGUUUGAAUCAUUUGUUCAAUGUGCCUUUUGUAUUCUGCCAGAAAUCGAGCUUUGGUCGAUUUCUCAUAUUCUGGUUUCAUUCCUUUGGAAGUUGAUACCCUUUAGCUUUCUUAUUCAAUUGAGCUUUAUAUUACUGCUUUGAAUUCUUUUAUGCUCUUGUCCCUAAAAUUAUUGCAUUCUUGAAAACUGUUGUGUAACGUUUAUGCUAUAUCGUAUUGACUCAUAUAGGCACAUGUAUAUCCUAUUGUUUCGCAUUUGCUUUUGAUAUGUGCCUAUUCCAGUUUCAUUCCUUUGGACAUUGAAUUCAUCAAAUCUUCUUAUUUGAAUUGAGCUAUAUAUGAUUGUUUGGAAUCCUUGAAUGCUCUUGCUUUCAUUUCGUUUCCAAAUCUGAAUACAUUUGUGAGAGAUUUGUCCCUUGCAUCCUAUUUGACACGUAAAGGCACAUGUACGUUUGUUGUUCCGCGUGUGCUUCCGAUAUUAUGCUACUUAUUGUUUAAACUGCCCUCUUGUAUUCUGGUGUUGUGGGAUAAUGUGAACCUUUGCCAGAAAUGGUAAAGGGAGUUAUGCAUAGAGCCUGCGAUGCUCUGCCGGCCCCCUCUGACUUCACCUAGACGUGGGUGGAUGGAGCUCCCAGACGUGGGAGACUUCUGUCUGGUGGUCAUUCAGAAAUGGAUGAAUCACAUUCUGUCUGUGAUCCCACUACACCCUCUAUAUGUUUGAUAUGACAUCCAGAGUUUUGGUGAGUUAUUUCUGUUCAUGCUCUGGAUAAGUAUGAUAUGAUUGCAACGUCAAGGACGACGUUUGAGCUUCUGUACGACAUAUGAGUUUGAUAUGCUCUGAAAUGCUUCAUUCAUUAUUGAUAUGUUUCGAAAUGUUCCAUAUGUUGUUGAUAUGCUCCGGAACAUUUUAUCUGCCAUUGAUAUGCUCCAAUUACUCUGGGCUCCAUUUGCUAUGAACUGAUAUGUUCUGAAAUGUCCUAUCUACCAUUGAUAAGCUCCGAUAUGUUUCCUUUGUUACUGAUAUGCUCUAAUUACUCUGUGCUCCAUUUGCUAUGAACUGAUAUGUUCUGAAAUGUCCUAUCUGCCAUUGAUAUGUUCCAAUUACUCUAUGCUCUAUUCGUUAUGGAUCAAAUAUGUUUUGAAUGACAUGAUACGUAUGAUUUGGUAUCUAUUGAGAUGGUAUCCUUGAGAAUUCUUGUAUUCUGCCUUGCAUUAUGAUACCUUACUCGUUUGAAACCGUUCCUUUUGUUCUGAAUAUGCUUUGUCACUUGCUGAGCCGUUUUUGGCUCACUCCGUUGUUAUAUAAAUCUUUCAGGUCAGCUUGUCACUCUUCGAGAUGUUGAUUUGGGCUGAGGCAGUGGAUAGCUAUUCAGAAUUAUGGGCAAGUCUGGGUGGUUAUUAUGAUAUUGUUGUAUAAGUAUGUUUUGUAUGUAAUGAAAUGUUGUCGAUGAAUCGAAAUGGAUAUACUGUGUAAAAGUGUUAGAAGAUCUCUCUUAUUUGGAAUUUCGGAAUGUUAAGUCUAAUUUAUGACGAUAUGAACUUGUGGUGAAUAGUUGGAGUUCUGAUUGUAUAAUUUAUUUAGCUUGUGGAUUUAUAAAUGUUGUUCAUGUUUGUCAAGUUGGCUUGGGUUGCCAUAAAUGUGAAUUAUCGAGUGAUGUGAUAUAUGAUUUUAAAAUGCACAGGUUUUAUGGAUGUGAAUUUGAUUGAAUGUUUUUCAGUGUCCUCAAACGUUAGUUUGGAUCCUGGAUGGAUUGGUCUGUGAUGAAAAUUGUUUUAAUAUCAUGGAUAAUAUUUUGAGGGGCGUGACAGAGGUGGUAUCAGAGCAUUGUUUGAGGAUUACUGAAAUAUUUGAUAUGUUGACAUGCAAAAUAUAUUGAGGUCUAGUGAACUAUAGUGAUUGGUGGAAAUUUUCUUUGAUGUAUUUUAGGAAUCUGGGAUGAUGAGGACAUUGGUCCUCCUAUUUCAUUUGUUUCUGAUUAAUUAAGGGGAAUGAAAGGAUUGAUCGAGGAUAUUGAAUCAGAGUGGCGCAGCGGAAGCAUGGUGGACCUAAUUUCAUUGGUGGUAGAAAAAUGGAUGAUGCGAAUAGAGAAGAUAUUCGAUGUAUAAAAUUGUUCUGAUGAUCGAAAUAUUUCUUUUGCUACCUUAUAUUGGAAGUAGAGGCUGAUUAUUAUUGGCAACAAUGAAAAGAAUUUUUGGAGAUAUGUGGCAAGAAUAAUAAGGAUAAGUUUAGCAAUAAGAAUAUGAUUGGAAAUGAAUCAGAAAGUAAUGACAAGAGGGUCAAGACAUUUGGAUUUGAAAAGGAAAGUCACCACCAAAGACUUAAUCAUGUGUGAAUUACAAGUUAAAUUAUGAAACAAGUUUGUGUUUUCGGGUGAUUGGAGUCUAUUUUGCUUGUAGAAAGUUAGAUCAUAAAAUAAAAGUUUGCCCUUUGAACAAGAAGAAAGAGUCACUGCCUCCUAAAUCAUCAGCCCAUGUCAGAGUGUAUGCUAUCACUGAAUAUGAUUCUAAGACUUCUGAAUUAGUGGUCGAAGGUAUUAUGCAUGUUUAUGAAAGAAUGCAAAUAUUUGUUCGACCAUGGGUCCAAUCUACGAUUUGAUUCGUAAUAUUUUGCUUAUCACUUGGGUAUUCAACCUAGACCACUGUAUUAUGUGGUAUAUGUAAGUACGAUCAUUAGAGAUUCUUUGAUAACGAACUUGAAUCUGGUCCUCUUGUCUGAUUUUUAUUGGAGAACUUGAACUUUUGCUGAUUUAGUUCUCCUAGAGAUUUGGAGUUAUGAUAUUAUACUUGGUAUGGAUUGGCUAUCUUCUUAUCAUACCAGUAUGGAUUGGUAUAUAACCAAUGAUCACUUUUUGUGUAUUUGAUCAGCCGAUCUUUUAUUUUGAGAGUAUUGGGACAUGAUUUAUCUCUUUGCCUAAUGUAUCCCAGGAUGACUUGCUUGGAUUAUCUCCAAAUGUGAUCUUGCUUUUGAUUUGGUCCUUUGGACAAUCCCAAUAUCUAAGCCUCUCUACAGAAAGAUAUCAUUUGAGUAAGUGGAAUUGGAAAAGCAACUACAAGGAUUAUUAAAUGAGGAUUUUAUUUGGCUUAAUAUUUCAUCAUGGGGUGCUCUGGUGUUAGUUAAAAAGAUGUAUGGAACAUUGAGGCUUUGUAAUGAUUAUAGACAAUUGAAUCAGGUGACAAUAAAAAAUGAGUAUUUCCUGAAGUAACGACUUGCUUGAUUAACUGUAGGGUGCGCAAGUAUUUUUAGAAAAAUUGCUUGAAGGUCGGGUUACCGUCUAUUGAGGAUCAAGGAGGAGAAUAUUUCGGUCCCUCGUGGAUAAUUAUGUAAUUGUAUUGUAUUGAUGAAACUAUUUAAGAGUAGGAGGAGGAAAUAGAGAUAUCAUAAUCCUCAUCUUUUCAUCGAUUGAGCUAUGAUCAAUUUAGAGGACUAAAUUUUCUUUUAAGGGGGGGAGAGUGUAAUAUCCCUCGCUUUUAAAAAUUAUUAAUAAAGAUUUAUAUGUAAAUUGGAGGACCUAUAUGUAAAUAUAGAAAUUACAAGGACUAAACUGCUAAGUUGCAAAAAAGAAAAAAAAAGGGAAAACCGAAAAUUCGGUAUUAUCCCACCGCCUCCCACGCACUCUGUUUCUUCCAGAAACAGAGAGAGCGGUGGGGCGUGAGGACAAGAAGGAGAGUGGUAGAAGAAGAGGAGGUGGCUGCAGCGAGGGCUGCAGCGAGAAGCUGUGGGGCGUGGGGAGAAGAAGAGAGGAAGAAGAGGGAGAAGAGAAGAAGAAGAAGAAGAAGAAGAGAAGAGGAUAGCUGCGGCAAGGCUGCAGCGAGGAGGUGUGUGGGGUUGGGGAGGAAAAGGGAAGAGGAGAAGAAGAGGGAAAAGAGAGGGAAGAGGAGAAGAAGAGGGAAAAGAGAGGGAAGAGGGAGAGGAGCGAGAGGUGGCAGCAGCUAGGGCUGCAGCACCUCUGUUUCCUGCAGGUGGAAACAGAGGAGAGGUGUGGGGCGUUCGAAGAGGAGAAGAAGAAGAAGAGGAAGAGGAAGCAGGGGAAGAGGUUGUGAUACCUCUGUUUCCUGCAGACGAAACAGAGGAGAGGGUGUGGGUGACGUCGGGGAGAAGAAGGGAAGGAAGGAGAAGAAGAGAAGAAGAAGAAAGGAAGAAAAGGCUGUGGCCGUGGCUGAGGCUGCGACUGCAGCAUGCAGCUGGGAAAGAAGAGAAGGAAAGGAAGAAGAAGAGAAAGGAAGAAGGGAAGGAGAGGAAGAAGAGAAGGGGCUGCGGCUGCGGCGAUGGCAGCUGCAGUUGGAAGAGAAGAAGGAGAGGAAGAUGAGCAGGGGAGGAAGAAAAGGCUGUGGCCGUGGCUGAGGCUGCGACUGCAGCAUGCAGCUGGGAAAGAAGAGAAGGAAAGGAAGAAGAAGAGAAAGGAAGAAGGGAAGGAGAGGAAGAAGAGAAGGGGCUACGGCUGCGGCGAUGGCAGCUGCAGUUGGAAGAGAAGAAGGAGAGGAAGAUGAGCAGGGGAGGAAGAAGAGGCUGCGAGUGUGGUGGCUGCGGCCGUGGCUGCGACUCCGGCUGCGGCUGCGACGUUGGCUGCGGUAGCUGCGGCAGCGGUGGUGGCUGCAGUAGCUGCAGUAGCUGCUUUUGGGAAAGAGAAAGAGUAGGAACGAGAGAAGGGAAGAAGGAAAUAGUGCAGUGGAAGGGGGCUGCGGUUGUGACCGCAGUUGCGGUCGUGGCUGCGAUUGUGGCAGCGGCAGCGACGGCGGCUGUGGCAGCUGUGUUUGGGAAAGAAAAAGAAGGAAUGAGAGUAAGAGAGAGCAGGUGACUGUGCCUCGAUGUUCGACACGUGGUGUAGUUGCGAAGAAAGGAAGAAAACGGGAGCACAAAACGAAACAGAGAGAGGACACGGAGGAAAAGUAGAAAGAUUGGAUUGGCACCUUCCUUGGAUAUUCAGAUCAAAAUAUUUGAAAGGUCAGCUUGUCACUCUUCGAGAUGUUGAUUUGGGCUGAGGCAGUGGAUAGCUAUUCAGAAUUAUGGGCAAGUCUGGGUGGUUAUUAUGAUAUUGUUGUAUAAGUAUGUUUUGUAUGUAAUGAAAUGUUGUCGAUGAAUCGAAAUGGAUAUACUGUGUAAAAGUGUUAGAAGAUCUCUCUUAUUUGGAAUUUCGGAAUGUUAAGUCUAAUUUAUGACGAUAUGAACUUGUGGUGAAUAGUUGGAGUUCUGAUUGUAUAAUUUAUUUAGCUUGUGGAUUUAUAAAUGUUGUUCAUGUUUGUCAA